rnacentral:misc_RNA from 1 species
GCAUGAGUUGUUCUGGACUUGCGUUGCGUGACGGGCUCCCUGUGCUUCGGCGCGGCAAACCGUCAUGGCGCUGUCUUUUCACCGUGCUUCCCGCUGUGCUAGCUUGGCCCGGGAGGAAUGCUCGUUUUUCGGUCGUCUGUAUGGUUCUACCCUAGUACGGGUACGGCAUUCUUUUCUUUGACGGAUAUUUGUUUGCCCCGUUGAUACUCGUUAUCGUCGGUGCAGCCGAUUUGCGGGCUUAAUUCAUGUGCUGCAGUGGGCGAGGGCCUCGGCACCGCACUUGGAUUUUGCCGGCUCUCACGGAUUCCGUGCCCUUCGAGAAACUCGCGGGCCUCUGGUCCCCCGAUUUCCACGGGAAGUCCCUUGCUUUGGAUCAUUGCUCCGCCGCCCCGUUAUCUUGUUGCGGGUGUUGGGAUGUCGGCGCGGUGCGUGCGGGGCGUGCUCCUGUGCAAUUGAGAUGUUUGUCCGAUCGAAUGAGCGAUUGUUGCGCGUCGUUCCAUAGCGUCGUGGCGGCACUCGUUUAAGACGUGCUACCUGGUUGAUCCUGCCAGUAGUCA